UUUAUUGGAGAGUUUGAUCCUGGCUCAGGAUGAACGCUGGCGGCGUGCCUAAUACAUGCAAGUCGAGCGAAUGGAUUGA
rnacentral:rRNA from 1 species